rnacentral:rRNA from 1 species
GAUGAACGCUGGCGGCGUGCCUAAUACAUGCAAGUCGAGCGAACAGACGAGGAGCUUGCUCCUCUGACGUUAGCGGCGGACGGGUGAGUAACACGUGGAUAACCUACCUAUAAGACUGGGAUAAUUUCGGGACACCGGCGCUAAUACCGGAUAAUAUAUUGAACCGCAUGGUUCAAUAGUGAAAGACGGUUUUGCUGUCACUUAUAGAUGGAUCCGCGCCGGAUUAGCUAGUUGGUAAGGUCACGGCUUACCAAGGCAACGAUGCGUAGCCGACCUGAGAGGGGGAUCGGCCACACUGGAGCUGAGACAGGGACCAGGCGCCUACGGGAGGCAGCAGUAGGGAAUCUGCCGCAAUAGGCGAAAGCCUGACGGAGCAACGCCGCGUGAGUUAUGAAGGUCUUCGGAGCGUAAAACUCUGUUAUGAGGGAAGAACAAAUGUGUAAGGAACUAUGCACGUCGUGACGGUACCUAAUCAGAAAGCCACGGCUAACUACGUG